rnacentral:RNase_P_RNA from 1 species
GACGAAUAACCGGGAAACCGGGGAAGUGAGACGACGUAAACCCUGCAAGCGGGCAACCCAAACUUUUUGGUAGGGGCGGUCAAUUUGGCUAAAUGAAGUAAAAAUUGACACCGGUUUUAUCCGGUAGAUAGAUGAUCGUCGAAGAACGUGAUCGCCAAUCUCGUUUGGAACAUAACAUGGCCUAUAGAU